GCCUCUUUAGUUCAGUGGUAGAACGCAGCACUCGUACAAAUGAGGUCGAUAUGCUGAGGUCAGUCGUUCAAUCCGGCUAGGAGGCA